rnacentral:rRNA from 1 species
UACGUAGGGUGCGAGCGUUGUCCGGAAUUAUUGGGCGUAAAGGGCUCGUAGGCGGUUUGUCGCGUCGGGAGUGAAAACACCGGGCUUAACUCGGUGCUUGCUUUCGAUACGGGCAGACUAGAGGUAUGCAGGGGAGAACGGAAUUCCUGGUGUAGCGGUGAAAUGCGCAGAUAUCAGGAGGAACACCGGUGGCGAAGGCGGUUCUCUGGGCAUGACCUGACGCUGAGGCACGAAAGCUAGGGGAGCAAACAGG